rnacentral:rRNA from 1 species
UACGUAGGUGGCAAGCGUUGUCCGGAAUUAUUGGGUCGUAAAGCGCGCGCAGGCGGUCCUUUAAGUCUGAUGUGAAAGCCCACGGCUCAACCGUGGAGGUCAUUGGAAACUGGGGGACUUGAGUACAGAAGAGAAGAGUGGAAUUCCACGUGUAGCGGUGAAAUGCGUAGAGAAUGUGGAGGAACACCAGUGGCGAAGCGAC